GUAGGGCGGGACACGUGGUAUCCUGUCUGAAUAUGGGGGGACCAUCCUCCAAGGCUAAAUACUCCUGACUGACCGAUAGUGAACCAGUACCGUGAGGGAAAGGCGAAAAGAACCCCGGCGAGGGGAGUGAAAAAGAACCUGAAACCGUGUACGUACAAGCAGUGGGAGCCUCUUUAUGGGGUGACUGCGUACCUUUUGUAUAAUGGGUCAGCGACUUAUAUUCUGUAGCAAGGUUAACCGAAUAGGGGAGCCGAAGGGAAACCGAGUCUUAACUGGGCGUUAAGUUGCAGGGUAUAGACCCGAAACCCGGUGAUCUAGCCAUGGGCAGGUUGAAGGUUGGGUAACACUAACUGGAGGACCGAACCGACUAAUGUUGAAAAAUUAGCGGAUGACUUGUGGCUGGGGGUGAAAGGCCAAUCAAACCGGGAGAUAGCUGGUUCUCCCCGAAAGCUAUUUAGGUAGCGCCUCGUGAAUUCAUCUCCGGGGGUAGAGCACUGUUUCGGCAAGGGGGUCAUCCCGACUUACCAACCCGAUGCAAACUGCGAAUACCGGAGAAUGUUAUCACGGGAGACACACGGCGGGUGCUAACGUCCGUCGUGAAGAGGGAAACAACCCAGACCGCCAGCUAAGGUCCCAAAGUCAUGGUUAAGUGGGAAACGAUGUGGGAAGGCCCAGACAGCCAGGAUGUUGGCUUAGAAGCAGCCAUCAUUUAAAGAAAGCGUAAUAGCUCACUGGUCGAGUCGGCCUGCGCGGAAGAUGUAACGGGGCUAAACCAUGCACCGAAGCUGCGGCAGCGACACUAUGUGUUGUUGGGUAGGGGAGCGUUCUGUAAGCCUGUGAAGGUGGCCUGUGAGGGUUGCUGGAGGUAUCAGAAGUGCGAAUGCUGACAUAAGUAACGAUAAAGCGGGUGAAAAGCCCGCUCGCCGGAAGACCAAGGGUUCCUGUCCAACGUUAAUCGGGGCAGGGUGAGUCGACCCCUAAGGCGAGGCCGAAAGGCGUAGUCGAUGGGAAACAGGUUAAUAUUCCUGUACUUGGUGUUACUGCGAAGGGGGGACGGAGAAGGCUAUGUUGGCCGGGCG
rnacentral:rRNA from 1 species